rnacentral:rRNA from 1 species
CUGGCGGCGUGCCUAAUAUGCAAUUCGAGCGGACAGAAGGGAGCUUGCUCCCGGAUGUUAGCGGCGGACGGGUGAGUAACACGUGGGUAACCUGCCUGUAAGACUGGGAUAACUCCGGGAAACCGGAGCUAAUACCGGAUAGUUCCUUGAACCGCAUGGUUCAAGGAUGAAAGACGGUUUCGGCUGUCACUUACAGAUGGACCCGCGGCGCAUUAGCUAGUUGGUGGGGUAAUGGCUCACCAAGGCGACGAUGCGUAGCCGACCUGAGAGGGUGAUCGGCCACACUGGGACUGAGACACGGCCCAGACUCCUACGGGAGGCAGCAGUAGGGAAUCUUCCGCAAUGGACGAAAGUCUGACGGAGCAACGCCGCGUGAGUGAUGAAGGUUUUCGGAUCGUAAAGCUCUGUUGUUAGGGAAGAACAAGUGCGAGAGUAACUGCUCGCACCUUGACGGUACCUAACCAGAAAGCCACGGCUAACUACGUGCCAGCAGCCGCGGUAAUACGUAGGUGGCAAGCGUUGUCCGGAAUUAUUGGGCGUAAAGGGCUCGCAGGCGGUUUCUUAAGUCUGAUGUGAAAGCCCCCGGCUCAACCGGGGAGGGUCAUUGGAAACUGGGAAACUUGAGUGCAGAAGAGGAGAGUGGAAUUCCACGUGUAGCGGUGAAAUGCGUAAGAUGUGGAGAACACCAGUGGC